CCACGAUUUGGAACUCCUGGUCCUAGGCAACCUAGGGCUCAGGGCUUGUUCCCAGGCAGGAAAGAAAGGAUAGGUGCCACCGAGGGUGCGGGUGCAGCCUUAGGGCAAGCCAGGCCUGCUGGUUUCCAGCCAGGGGCUGCUGCAGUAGACACAGCAGGGCCCCAUCUAGCCGCUGGAAGAUGCUGAGUGAGAACAGAGUCUGGCGAAGCUCCCAGGACAGGCCCCACUGCUCCUCUUCCAGAACCGCCCUGACCACUCCGAAGUCUUGUUUGAGCUGCAGCGCCCCCUGCAGACUAGAUGUCCAGGGAGAAGAAUGUGAAAAAUGGGGCAUUUGGCAGAAGUUGUCAAAAUGCAAGCUGAGCACAGUGGCAUAUACUAUAACUCCAGGUCGGGAAGCUGAAGCCGAAGAAUCGCAAGUUCCAUGAGGCCAGUUCGAGUGUACUCUUUCAUAAAACAAGAAGGGGAGAGGGGGAAAGAAAGAAGAAAAGAGAACAAAGAAAGAUAUGGCUGUGUGAUCCCAAGAAGCUAAAAGGAGGAAAGGCAGCCAUUGGGUUCCUGGCACAUCUGACUUGUUUAAGCCUAAACUCUUCCCUUCUCCAACAUGGCGUUUUCUCCUCCCCCCAUCUUCACAGGGUCUUAUUGUCUU